UCCUACGGGAGGCAGCAGUGGGGAAUAUUGCACAAUGGGGGAAACCCUGAUGCAGCGACGCCGCGUGAGUGAAGAAGUAUUUCGGUAUGUAAAGCUCUAUCAGCAGGGAAGAGGAAAGACGGUACCUGACUAAGAAGCCCCGGCUAACUACGUGCCAGCAGCCGCGGUAAUACGUAGGGGGCAAGCGUUAUCCGGAUUUACUGGGUGUAAAGGGAGCGUAGACGGCUGUGCAAGUCUGAAGUGAAAGCCCAGGGCUCAACCCUGGGACUGCUUUGGAAACUGGGGAGCUAGAGUGCUGGAGAGGG
rnacentral:rRNA from 1 species